GAGCAUGCAGAUGGGAAUGUUGAAGCUUUUCUAAUAUUUUAAAACAACAAUUAUACAAUCACGACUAAUUAAAGCUUUUUAAUUUUAAGCCACCAUUUUUUAUCUUACAAUCCCAUCUAAGUACUAACCCUUCAUGCUAACCCUAGCUAAAACAUUCCAAGAUGGCUUUACAGAAAGCUUAAUCGGAGAUCCAAUGGUGGAUGAUCAAUUUCUGUACCAAAUGUGUAGGAAAAAGAUGUGGGUUCCUUGCAUUCAUUUGCUUGAAAUCUAAGCUUCUCUGAUUCCCCUUCAUUGAAUGAGUUUAAUGGAAAUAGUUGGAGUGUUUCAAUCACUCGUUCUUGCACAGUAACCUGACUCAUCUCAGAGAAAUAUCUUGCAGAAGAUGAAAGACUAUCUUCUCUCCGAAUCAUCAUCUCCUUCUCAUCGACCGAAACCCUUCGCCGCUUCUGCCUUUCCCUGGCUUUAUGGUUCUGAAACCAGUAAAACACGUUCUUGCUCUCGAUCUUGCCAUAGAAACUAAGCUGAGAAGAGAUCUUCUGGAUCUGAUCAGUGCUCGGAGUUCGGAGUCCGGACCUGAACAAGUCAGUCAGAACUUUAACUUGUUCAGAAGUAGGAUUCCAACGCCCGCACUUAGUUCCUGUGCUACAAUUAUUUCCACUAUCAUCAUCACCACGAACAUGAUUUCUUGCUUUUGUAAUGCAAAAGCCUGACAUUCUCUCUUCCAUAAUAUAUCUCUCAGCUCCAAAAUGCUAUUCUUUUUUAUGUGUAUAGAAGUCUCUAAA
rnacentral:misc_RNA from 1 species